rnacentral:lncRNA from 1 species
CUAGGGAUGCCAUGAAAUUUCCAAAUUGUUUAAUAUAAUUUUCCAUAUUGGCCUAAGUAAAUAGUAAAUAGUAAGUAGUAAGUAGUAGGUAAGUAAGUAAGUAAAUAGUAAGAUUAAUGCCCCCCCCCUCCUGAUUUGGGAUUUGAGGUUUCAUCAAUUUAGGAAGCUCCUGGGAAAGAACUCCCUCCACCAAUCAAGACUGGCAUGAUUUCUGUAGUUUAUUGUCUUAAACAGUUGCAGAGAUUAAAUAAUCUUCCAGAGAUCACACAGUUACUAUGCGUCAGAGUUUGAACCCAGAGUUUUGAGUUUUGAGCUUUUUUCCCUGAUCUAUAGCCAGCAUAUAUGAUACCUGGGUUAUGAUGAGGAAGGGAAGUAUAAAAUAUGAUUUACUAGUGAAACUUAGGUAAAGGUAUCAGAAGAAUAAUAUCUUCUACAUAGACUCAUGGGAAAGAUCUGAUAAGGAACUGGAUUUUGGGUUAGAAAUCUUUCUGUACCACAGGCAAUACUCACAGAAAGAAUGGUAUCAUGGAUAGUGAUCUAAACUUAGUCAUGAAGAGCUGAGUUCAAAAGCUACCUCAGACAUAUACUAGAGAUGUGACUCUGAGCCAGUCACUUAAGCCUUUUAGCUUCAGUUUCCUCUUCUGUAAAAAUAGGAAUAAUAAUCACACCUUCCUCUCAGGCUUAUUUUAAGGAUGAUAUGAGAAUAUACAUAUAUAUAUAUAUAUUUUUUACCUAUACAUAUACAUAUACAUACACAUACUAUAUGUAUAUGUAUAUACAUAUACAUACUAUAUAUUAGGGCACUUUAUAAACAUUAAAGAGCAAUAUAAAUGUUAGCUAUUGAUAUUAUAAUACUGUUAGUGGCACCCAGCUUCAGCAGCUUUAAUGUCCCUAAAUUCCCCAGUCCUCAUCUUAAGUGAAAUUUCCUUUCUUGGAUUACUUUUGCUGCAAGGACUGCUUUAUAUUGGCAAUAGAUUAUUAUUAUGGUAACUUCCCUUGUUAGAUCCAAAAAUGACUUUUUGCCCCCAAACACUUCAGCUUGUAUUGAUAGAGAAUAAAAUCUCCUGUCUAAAAAUCACUCUUUCUCGAUUUGUCUCUUUCUCCUCUUGUUUCUCCCUCUCCUCUCAAUCUUUUUCUUUCUGUGUUUCUCUUUUCUUAGCACUUAACAUAUAUUUAAGUCUCUAUAAGUGCAAAGGAAAAAAUCUUUUCUCUCUCCACUUCUCCCCACUUCUCUCUACCUCUCCCUACUUAAUCAUCAUUAACCACAUACUAUCUCAGUUGUGGUUGCCAAACUUUCACUUAUUUAAAGGAUAGUAAUAAAAGAGAGAUGAGAGACAAAGACACACAGAGAGAGACAGAGGCAGAGAGAGAGAGAGAGACAGAGACAGACAGAGAUAGAGACAGAGAGACAGAGACAGAGAAAUAGAAAAAGAGACAGAGAGAAACAGAGACAGAGAAAUAGAAAAAGAAACAGAGAGAAACAGAGACAAAAACAAAGACAGAGAGUAUGCAAUAGGCAGGGAGUGGUAAGGAAUAAUUCAUUUAAUCAUUUAACAUCAAUUAAUUGCCUACUAUGUACCAGGCAAUGUGCUAACUACUGGGGAUACAACAUAUAUAUGAAAAAGAAAGACAAUUAUUGCCCUCAAGAACCUUACAAUCUAAAGGGGAAUACAACACAGAAAAGAAAGUUGAACAGGGAGUUAGGGUGAAGAGACUGCUAGCUUGGGUGUCUUCCUUAAAUGGAGGCUUUGGGAGGAACUCUUCUGUCUGCCUUCCGAUUAUUGGGAUCCCAGUGCAUAAGGUACUGAUGAAAUAUGAGUAUCAAGACUCAUGUAAUCUUGCAGAAUAGUGAAGUUCCUGGAUUGUUGUUGUUCAUCCUUCCAUAUUGAAAAGGACCAAAGAAACCAUAAGGAUAAUAUCACUUGACUUGUGCAUAAAUUGGAUUUGAAUGAGGUAGAACUGUACAAAGUUAUCAGCUUUACUUUUUGUUCCAGAGUCAUGGAAAUCCAAUGGUAAGACAAAGGUCAAAACAACUGGUAAUGGCCAGGAAGCAGUGGGUGACUGGGUAAGGUGCCAGUCUGUCUGGGGCUGCCCAUUCAUUGACUAAGGGCUAGGUAAGAACUGAGACCAAAAAAAUGGCUUCUUUGCCAUCACAGAGGUUUCUGGGUUAUUAUUGGAGAAGACCAAAGGAGAUCAGCCAGAUGAGAAAUGAUAAGAAGAACUUUGCCCAAAUGGGCUCAUGAAGAGUCAGACAUAACUGAGAAGCUAUUGAACAACAAAAAUUGGGUAAUUAUCCUGGGAGUGCCCAUCAAUUAAAAAAUGAUAUUAAUAGUCAGGUGGGGCAUUGCAUAUCUGUAAUUCCUGCUACUGGACAAACUGAGGCCAGAAGAUAGCUUGAGUUCAGGAGUUCUGAGCUGCAAAUGGGGUAGAAGCUGAUCCACUGUUGAUAUCAUUAUGGUGAGCCCUUAGAAGGGGGGGACCACCAGUUUGCCCAACGCAGAAAAACCUCCGUAACGAUCAGCAGUGGCCACUGUACUUCCAUCUGGGAUGAGAUAGGGCCACUUAGUCUUUUUUUAAAAAAGAAAGACAGUAUUCAAUAUUUUAGAUUUUUGCUAGCUUAAACAGGAAAAUAAAUGGUCAACAAUCAAAGAUUUAAGUGAUUAAUGAGAAACUUGGGCUUGUUCUUUCUAAGACAGAAGUUCUAUUUGUGGGUGAAUAUACUAAAAAUAUUCCCACAUUUUCUGCUCAGCUGAAAGAAGUCUUACAUGUCUCGUUCUUCAUGUUUAUUAGGGCUGAAUGAUCCAGCCCACACGGGGAGGUAGAUUGUUGAAAAGGAUAAACUCAUACUUACUGUUUCUUCUGCCAUGUAGCGUAGUUUCCCUCUGCCAAUAUUAAUCAUUUAGUGGUGAUGGGCCAUCUUAUCUCAGGGGGAACAUGGAGUCUGGCUGAAAUCCUUUAACUGGCUCUUGUUUUCUGCAGAGGGAGAUGGGUUUGGGUUGCUAUGUGUGAAGGAAUGCCCUUGUGGUACUGUGCUCAGAUACAUUUUAAUUUUGUAACUGUGGGCAAGUCACUUUACAACUCUUUCUCAUUUUCUGUUCUGUAAGAUGAGGGUGCAUCAAUUCUUUCUACCUUAUAAGGAUGCUAUAAAGAAAUCUAAAAGCACCAGUAAAGUGAGUCUCUAAUUAUAUCUCAUACUAUUGUAAGAUUUAGUUGUAAGAAUCCUGAAAAAUUAUUUAGUCCAGCUCCCAUUUUUUAAUAGAUGAAGAAACUGAGGCUCAAGAUGUUUUACAGGUGACAAAUAAUAUCUCUAAGGUACUAAAAGUAUCCAGGGAAUAAGUAGUACCUCUAAGUUCUCGAGGAAACUCUCUCAGACUAUAGUUGCAGAACUGAUAACAAUCAGCAUUCGUAGAGGAAGUUCACUAUACCAGUGAAAUCAAAGGUCAGCUCCAAAAACAAAAACAAACCAAACCAACCAUAUUGUGCCUCUAUUACACAUAACUAAAAAUAUUAUAUCCUGAACAACAACAACAACAAGCUUUAGAAACAAGACUUUAGAGUCUAAUCCCAGGAAUGCUAAUUCUCAAAUAAGUAACUGGAUACAUUUUACUUUGUGUCUUCAGCUUUCUUUUUCUCCCUUUAAUAGCCCUCUUCCCUCAUAUUCCUUCUAUAUGAAGCAUUUUACAAUCCUAAUAAAGGUGGGAGGAAGGAGGGUCUGAAAUUGUCCCUUUUCUUUUCUCUUAUCAAUCUUUCUAUUUCAUGUCAUGCCAUUUUCCCUUUGCACCUGUGAGCAUGCCUUCCUGGAUACCUAACCACUUCUUCCCUACUGGAAGUUGACACUGAGAUAUAUGACCAUUUCUUCAAGAAGAAAACCUCAAAAAGUAUUCAAACCAAGCAGCAAGAUUUGUUGCAAGAACUUUAUCUGCCUUUCUUCCUGGUCUCUAAGGGAUGACUUUAUGCCACAGCCCAAUUGCACCAUUUCAACUGCCCCUAGUUCUUCCUCUGUGUUCAGCUCCCCAUCCUGUAUCUCAUCCUCCUGCCAUCCCAAAAGCAGGAAGGAGAAUUUGAAAGCACUUUAUCUAUACCUCCUCUCAUAUUCUGAUGAGUCACUAGAUGCAUCUUUUCUUUUUUUCUCUUUUCCCCAGCUGAGAUGCUUUAUUCUGCCUGUGUUAUCCUUCCCCUUAUAAUAUUGAUUUAUUAAUAUGGAGACUAAUUUUCCCUCAAAUAUUAAUUCACCUUCUCAAUCUAUUCUUGUCUUAAAUUUUGCCUUUAUUACUUUUGCUCCUCAGAUUUUUUAAAACCCACUAAUACUCUCUUUGCAUUUUUGUUGCCACUCAAUAUUUUUUUUAAUUUCCUUUUUUAUUAUCAGGAACUUGACAAACAGUGAUAAGCAAGAACAUUUCCACCCAGCUGAAAUUUUACUUUUCCUCCUCAAAUUUUCCUAGAAUAUUCUGUCUGAGUUCAUAUUUAUUUUUUUCAAACUACCUUAUAUUUAUGUGAAUUCUUAUCAAUUCCACAUCUCUACCCCUUAUAAGCUUCUUGAUGGUAGGAACUUUGUCGUUAUUUUAAACUCCUGUAUUCUUAUUGCCUAAAGCAAUCCCAUGAACCCAGUAGACACUUUCUAAAUAUUUGUUGAAUGGAAAUGAAAUAAAUACCAGCGUCAAAUAUGUUAGGAUCAAAUAUGUGCUUAGGUUGAAUGAGGUGGUUGAUAAGGUCCUUUCUAAUUCAGGGACAGCCAGGUGGUUCAGUGGAUAGAAUCAACUGAGCUUGGAAUUAGAAAGACUCAUCUUCUUGAACUCCAAUCUGACCUCAGAUAUUUGCUAGCUGUAUAACCCUAGGCAAGUCACUUAAACCAGUUUGCCUCACUUUCCUCAUCAAUAAACAAACUGGAGAAUGAACUGAAAAAGGAAAUGACAAACUACACCAAUAUCUUUGCCAAGAAAACCCCCAGUGUCACAGCUAGUUGGUUUUAACUGAAACAAAAUUUCAAAUUUUGUGAUUCUAUUUUUCUAUGAAUUGGUUUAGGAUGGUGACAUUGGAUAUUCUUAAUUUGAUUUCUCCUGAUGUUAGAAUGGACAUAGAGAGAUCUUGGGUUCUAAAUCACAGGUGUUUGCUGGUUUUGGGGAAAACAAGAGAUAUGGUAGGUAGACUCUUCUAAUGCAGGAACCCCAAAUGACUAUAAUCAGUCAUAAACUGAGAUACGGAAAUAUUAGUUACAGAGAGUUAGUAUACUAUUAUUAUUAUGACUAUCAUUAUUAUCCCUAAUGCAUCUGAGUGAAAGUUUGGACCAAAGUGGCACUAAAUAGUAAUCAUAAUAAUAACUAUAAUAACUAUCACUUAUAUUGUACCUACUAUGUGCCAAGUACUUUACAGAUAUUAUUUAGUUCUUGGAAUAACCAUGAGAGGUAGGUGCUAUCAUGACCCUCAUUUCACAGUUGGCCAGGUCACACAGCUAAUAAAUGUCUGAGAUCAAAUUUGAAUUUAGAUGUCUACUGAUGGGGGGGAGGUGGAUCAUAUAGAAGGAAUAUGAGGGAAGAGGGCUAUUAAAGGGGGAAAAAGAAAGCUGAAGACACAAACUUACUAUACCACAAUUUUUCUGGGGCAUAUUUUAUUUUAUAACCCAAUGCAUUUUUUCCUUGGAUGGUGAUGGUGGGGAGGGUAAAGUUUUCUCAAGUGGCAUUUUUACUCUUUUACUUAUGGAAAGUCAUUAUGAGACUAGCAAUGAAUUAGAAUACCAAUUAAUCAUGUGCCCAUUGCUCAUGGAAUUUUUGUGUGUGUGUGUGUGUGUGUGUGUGUGCUUUUGGAUCUAACAAAGCUAAAGUAAAAACAUAACUAGCUCUAUACCUGUAAAACAAUGAGGCUGGAAAGAACUGGAAAAAUGGAGAUGCCCAUCAAUGGGGAAUGGUUGAAUAAGUUUUGGUAUAUGAAGGUGAUGGAAUAUUAUUGUGUCUAUUGAUAAAAAGCAUACAGCAGACAUUUAAACCUUUUUUCAUUUCAUGACUUUCCUUUGGCAAUCUGGUGCAACUUUUCCUCAGUUUUUAAAUGCACGAAAUAAAACAUUUAGGAUGACCAAGGAAAUACUAUAUUGACAUAUAAUUAUAAAUUUUUUAAAAAAGGUUAUUAGACCCUAAGUUAAAAGUUUAAGUAAAGGUAAGCAUUAAGAGUUCUGGUUUUGCAACUAAUAAGUUGUAUGUAUGAUCUUAAUCAAGUAAUUUAAUUUCUUUUUAUUUCACUUUUCUUAUCUAAAAAUAUGGAAAAUAUCUUUCCUGCUUAUCCAUAGUGAUUUAUGAGAAUACACUCAGAUGAUACAGAUUUUUCAAAAAACUGGAAAGUGUUACAUAAUGUAUGAUAUUAUUAGAUUAACAGAAAUAAGAAUGUCAUACCCAGUCUGGGACAAACCCUGAAUGUGUCAGUAAUUAGAAGAAUUCUAAUUACUUAAGGUGAAUGAGGCUCCUGGGAAGGAGCAGACAAGGUCCCAUGUUUGGAGGAAAAGAGACAACCCCAAAGGCAGAUGAGGUCAAUUCUUGGAGUUGUGUGUGCACUUGGAGUGAGGUUUCUAGGAUUAUAGUGAAGGAAAGAAAGUGAUCAGGAUAUUCAAUGUUGAGAGAAGUUGUUAAGAGUUUAGGAAGCAUAAAUGCAGGCAUUUCUGGAGCAAUGCAGUUUGAUUUAAGCUGACUCCUGUUAGCAAAAGAGGUUUUUUUUGGUGUUAAAAAAAAAGAUAUUUUUGUUAGUAUAUGUGUUUGAACUCUGUUUAGUGAUUAUAUACACACAUACAUACAAAUAUAUACAAAAUAUAUAUGUAUAUGUGUAUGUGUGUAUUUGUAUAUAUUGCUGCUGACACACAUAUAUGUAUAAACAUGUAUAAUAUAUAUAAUAUGAAUAUAUUACAUACACCCCACCCAUCCCCACCUAUCCCCUGUGUUUCCUAAUAGAGAAGGCAAUGAACUUUCCCAGUCACCCUUUUCACCCCCCUCACUGAACUAUGAGACUGUACAGAUAGAUCUCAUCUUCCAAUGACAAACAGGUAGAAAGUAUCUAUUUUACUCACAAAUACCUGUGAUUAUUUGGGGUAAGAGAAAUGGGCUAAAAUCAAGAUAAUGCAAAAUUUCACGUGUAGAAAAUACAUGUUGCUUUCUUUAUUAUAGAUUUGAGCAUAUUCAGAAGUAGAAAAACAGAUUGCUUUGGAUUUGAUCUGAUCUCUUUGUUUGACCCUCUGAUGAAAAUGAAAAAAUUAAAUGGUCAAGAGGGAACUGAAAAAAUUGGCCAAUUUCCAUUGGCCCCGAAAUAACUGAAUUUGUCAACCUCAUUCUCAAAUUUCAACUCGGAUGUUCAAGCAAUUUUAUAAUUUACAAAUGUACAAAGCACUUUUCACACAAUCUUUCUAAGAUAUGGAUGAUAUAAAUAAUAUUACCCUGGAAGGUAUGAGCUAUUAUUAUUCCCAUUUUACAGAUGAGCAAACUGAAGCCAACAGAAAUGAGUGAUUUGUUCAAAGUCAUAAGUGAGUGUUUGAGGUCAUAUUUAAACUCAAGUUUUCUUGAUUCCAAGCCCAGAGCUUUAUGGUUUUCCCUAGUUGUCCCAUUAUCAUGCAAUACAAAUGUCUAUUUAUAUGAAAGGGGGCUCCUAAGUAAAGACUUCAAAUUACUGGAAUGCUCAAAAUUCCUGCUGCUUUUCCUCCCAGAAGUUGUGAUCUCCCUUGCUUCUGUAACAUGGGGCUGGGCUUACGAAUUAUCCUUGUUAUUAGCAUUGGAGCUUGGAACAAAGUUAUAUCAAAAGUCUGGAUAAGCUGAAAUAUUAGUCUACAAUUUAAUUAUAGUCUGGGUAGAAUGGACUUGAGAGAGAGUGGGAAUCUAAAUAGGGUUGAUAAUACUGUUUCUAUGAUUAAAUGAACUCCUAAAUAAUGACUGACAAACCAGUUUUGAGAGCAUGAGUCUGAAAGUUUUCAUUACAGUUUUAGGAACUGUAUCAUAUUUGAAGAAUUUAUAUAUAAUUUUCCCUUGUUUUCAGAAAUUCCAUCUCCUCUCCAUUUCUUUCUAGCAUAGAAUCUAUCUUAGAGAACUGCCAGUAAUUUAUAAUCUCAACCUUAACAUCAUGAGUAGUUUGAACUAUUGAGCAAGUGGAUCUUUGUAGAUGAAUUUCUAAACAUUUGUGAAAGACAACAGAAAUGUCGCUUAGAGUAGACAUUUAGGGCAUUGAAAAUAAGGGAAGGAAACCACUUUCUUGAGUGAAGGGUGGGGUGGGCCUUCAUCAACUUUGCAGAAGAUGAUGUGGUUUCCACACUAUCCUUCGAACCCCAAACACCUCCCCUCCCUGCCCCUUUCCCAUGAUAUCUAGCCUGAGAAAGGGAGUGGCCAAAGUGACAAAGGGAGAGUCACGGUAGUCAUCGUGAUAACCCCCUCAAUUACAGGAGGUAAUGCUCCCUGUUGACAUCAAACACAAUCUUAAAAAAAAAAAAUAGACAAGAAAAAUUUUGGAGCAUAUGCAGCCCCCUCCUCCCUUAAUUACUAAUACUGCCCACUCUCUUUGUAAUGGUAGACUGGCCAUCUAUAUGCUGUCUCUUCUCUUGAAUUGGAAAAGUAAUUUCAAUUUUUUCAGGCUUUCCAGGAUGUCUGAGUCCUCUGUUUGUGGAGUCCCCUCAGCAGAUUCCCUUGGCAGUCAUCCAGAUGUAAUGGAGAGAUUGUGUUGUGAAACAGUGGCCAGGCCCUGAUAAUGCUUUUGUGUUCAGCCCCAACGUUGCUCAGUCCAUCACAACACCCUGUUACAGCUAGGGAUGUUGAAAUCGCAAAUACUAUAGUGAUAGACAUCUGAAGAAUGCAUGGGAUGUAGAGACAGGCCAAGAAAAGGAUUGUUGCAAUCUUGUGUGUAAGGUUUCUAAUUUCCCAACUGCUAGAGUGAUACAGCUUAAAAAAAAAAAAUCAGCCCAUAGGCCUUUGCUUCUUGGACAGUACAGAAAUCUAUGUUUUCUUCAGUCUAGAUAGAAUUUGUGGCAUUCUCCUCUCUGAACACAGACACCCUUCUUUUAGUCCUUCAUUCUGUAUCUGUAAUUCUCUCCUUCCUCUCUCUCUCCCUCCCCCUUCCAGCACUCUCUCUCUCUCUCUCUCUCUGUCCCUCCCUUCUUUCUCCCUCUCUCUCUGUCUUUCUGUUUCUUUCUUUCUCUCCCUCUCUCUGUCUCUAUUUAUGUUUGUCUCUCUCCCUUCCCCUUCUCUCUUUUUCUCUGUCUGUCCCUCUUUUAGACUGGACCUAUUGUGGAUACUUUCUCUUUUAUUGCAGAUCAGAUAAAAAACAUCUUUGUUAUUAUAAUCCUAAGGCACUACUUGUCUAGGAUGCUGAAAAGUUGAAUGACUUGUCUAAGGUCACUCAUUCCAAAUAAUUUUAUGUAGAUGUGAGGACUUGAACUCAAAUUUUCCUAGUUCUAAAGCUAGAUCUCAAGCUAGUACAUAUCUCUUUACAGAGAUAUCAAUUACUAUUAUUUUGUUUUAGCUAUACUAUCUCUGACUUCUCUUUCUUGAACACCAAAUUAGCAUUUCCAACUGUCUACUCACAACAUUAUUUAAAUAUACUGGGGGCAGCUAAGUAAGUACAGUGGAUAAUUGACUCUGGAGUUAGGAGGACCUAAGCAAGUAACUCCAAUUGCUUUCCUUGUGUGUGUGUGUGUGUGUGUGUGUGUGUGUGUGUGUGUGUGUGUGUAAAACCCAUAUUCAACAACAAACUGAUUGCCUUCCUCCUUACAACUGCUUCCUUUUCUCCUGACUUCUCUGUUUCUAUUUUGUGGUUCUAUCAUUCUUCUCGUCACCUAGUCUGGAACUUCUUAGUCAUUCAUUAUUCCUUCCUCUCUCUUACUGUCCAUCAUCAUCUUAUCUAGUCUAUAGACUUUCACUUUUGUCCUCUCUUUUUCAUUCUCAUUGACACAAUCUGAUUCUGGUUCUUAUGGCUGGACUUUGCUAUUAUAAUAAUCUCUUAACUGGUCAAUACUUACAUCCAUUCAAAAUAUAGCUGAUAGGUAUUCUUGAAUCUACAUUUAGCACAUUACCUGCUACAUUACUUAGGUAACUCAUCUUUAAGAUUUCUCCUGUCUUUUACUAUAGCAUAUAAUCAUCAUAUCAUAUAUUACUCCUUAAAAACUUUAAAAUGUUUCAUGUUGCAUAUCAAAGAAAAUUAAAACUUGGAGCCUUGUGUCACAUUACUUUCCUUCACAUUUUCCAUAUUCUCUUGAAAAUUAGCUACUUGAGGUUAAUUAAUCAAUCAAUAGGGGCCUCCUGAAUGUAUUUCUUGCAUUUCUGCCUCUUUGCUAUGGCUUAUACUGCAUCCCAAAUGGGGUAUGUCCUUCCUAGUAAUCUCUAUCUUUUGUAAUUCUAUCCACCCAUGAAGGCCCAAGUUAAAUGUUAUUUAUUCUAAGAAACACAUAUAUAUGUUACUGAUACAUGUAAUCAGUGUAACCUUUGAUUUCUCUGAAUUCUCAUAGCAUUGUUUACUUCUAUUUAAUGUACUUGUGUUUUAUUUUGUAUUAUAUUUAUUUGUGUAUAUUUUAUUUCCCAUAUUAUCUUGCAAACUCUUUGAGGGUUUUAUUCAAUUCAACAAAUAUUUAGUUAUUGUCUACCAUGUACUAGUGUCAUGUCUACCAUGUACUGGGUGUCAUAGACAUAAAGAUAAAAAUGAAAUGGCCUCUGCCAAAAAGGAAGCUUACAUUGCACUGAUCACCAAGCACAGUGCCUUAUAAUUAGUACAUGCUUUAUUCAUGUAUUAUGAAAAAAAUUAAGAGAGUGUAACUAUUACAAUUCAUACUAGACUCACAAGACCAGAACAUAUAUGUGUGGAGUAAAUUGCAAAUUCAAGGGCAAGAACGAAUUAAUUUUCCAGUCACUGAGUUUACUUCCCUAUGCACGAUAGGAGUUCCAUAAAUGUUGAGUUAUUGUGAUUAAGUAAAAACUUUACUCAAGAUUGGGCAAUUGAAAUUUUAAAAAUAAAAAUGGAAAGUACAUGUAGAGCUUCCUAAGCUUAUAUGAUUCAUAUAUUCCAUUAACUAAGCUUUAUUUUCUUCAUGUCUUUUAGGUUAGCUUAGUAGUGUGUUUCUAAAACUUUGGGCAUCCAGGAAAGGGGCUUAAAAGUAAUCCCAGAUCCCACUGAACUCUGCUAAAUUAUAUAUAUCAUAAGUAAAUUAUGAAUGCGUAUUUUGGAAACAAACUGAAAAAGAGAACAUUAUUAUACUAUGAAUGUCAUGGGAUCACUGAGAUGGAAAACAUCUAGACGAUGACCAUCUAGUUCAAAUCAAAUCUGAAAAAGAAUCCUUCAUAUAAUAUAUCAGUAAAGUGAUCAUUCAGCCUUUGCUUGAAGACCUAUAAUAAGAGAGGACCCUCUUCCAUGUGAGGCAGCCCAAUUCAUUUUUCUAUAGCUGAAAUGAUUAAAAAGUUUUUCCUGAAUUCACAUCUUCAUAUACCUCUUCAGCUUCUUUCCUUUGCUUCUGGUUCUGGCCUCCUUGGUUCUGACAACUUUCUUAAGUUAAACUUAAUUUUUAAAAAAAUGGUUAUCUUUUAUUUUAACAUCAUCUGCAUUUUCCAAUGUGUCCCUCACUCUUCCCUCUCCUUAAAAGUCAUCUUAUUACAUAUGCAAAAGUAUCCAGCAUAAAGAAAAGGUCUAGUAAAUAUGAAGUAUUUCACAACUCUUCAAAAAAGGAGAGGUAGCUCUCCCCACUUUUUACAUAAAGAAACUGAUAUUCAAGAGAUACAGUAGCUUGGCAAGGGUUUCAAAGCCAGUAAAAUAGCAGCAGAGCUAAAUUCAAAUCCAUCUUUCUUUCUUUCUUUUUAUAACAUGUCCAGUUAUUUUAAACAUUUUCACAUUAACCAUCUUGGAAAGAAAAUUUCAGAACAAAAAAGAAAAACCACGAAGAAGAAAAAGCAAACAAACAAACAGUAAAGUGAAAAUAGUUUCAAUUGUCAUUCAGUCUCCAUAGUUCUCCCUCAUGGCUGGAUCAGUUCACAACUCCCCCAAUAAUGCAUCAGUAUUCCCAGUAUUCCCAGUUCACCAUUUAUCAUUAUCUUUUCCUGUCACCUGAGCCAAUCUGAUAGAUGUGAGGUGGCACCUCAUAAAUUUUUAAAUUUGCAAUUCUCCAAUCAAGAGUGCAAAUCCAUGUAUCUUGACUCCAAAUCCAAGCCUCUUCCUACUACACCACAUUGCCUUUUGGUCCAAAUUAACAUUUACUUAGGAAUUAUUAUAUUAGACCCUGAGAGAUUAAAAAAACAAAAACAUAUAAGACCAAGAGAACUUUGCCUUUUCUGAAUUCUCAAAGCAUUAUUUACAUCUGUUUAAUUUAUUUAUUUUGUUUUGUAUUUUAUUUAUUUGUGUACAUGUUUUGUUCAUCAUACUAUCUUGUAAGUUCUUUGAGGCUAAGGUUUUAUUCAAUUCAAUCUACAAUGAGUUAGUUAUCAUACCCCAGAACUUCCAGAUAUUUACAACCUAGUAGAGGUAAUAAAAACACAUAUAAUGAUGAAAAAUAUGUAAGUACAUAAGAGAAAUACUUCAUUGCUUUAAGAAUUCUGAGAUUAUAAUCUUGGUCUAGGAAACCAAAUAAGUCUUCUCUCAUGGAAGAAUUUGAAUUUAAAUUAGAUCUUGGAAGGUGAAUAAAAUUACUAUUUUUUUUUUUCUUUUUGCAUGGGGACAGCUCUUUUUUUUCUUCUUUAAUCUAAACUUUUCCAGUUUCUUCAGCCAAUACUCACAUGGAAUAAGCUUGAAGCCUUUCACCAUUUUUAUCUGUGUCCACUGGAUACUCUCCAUAUUAGCAAUAUCUUUCCUAAACUGUAAUGAGGAGAAUUAAUCAGUGAUUAAUUGAAUAUUUAUUAGGUUUCUGUUAUGUACCAAGCAAGGAUGAUAGUGAUACAAAGAGGAAGCAAUCUUUGGUUUUAGAGAGAUAAUACAUACAUAUAUAAGCAUAUACCUAAUAUAUAUUAAACAACAUACAUACUUAAAAUAAUGAUGGGAGAGGAGGGAGAUAUAAGCAGUGAGAAAAUCAGAAAAAGUCUCAUCUAAAAGGUGAUGCUUGAGCUGAUCUUUGAAGGAAACUAAGGUUCUAAGAGAUAGUGAUGAAGGAGGAAUGAAUUCUAUGCAUGAGGACAGCUGAUGCUAAGAUUUGGAGCCAGAGAUGGAGUAUACAUGAAGGAAAGAAACAAGGCCAAUUUGGUUGGGCAAAAAAACUAUUAAUAGGAGCUAACUAACAUUAAUGCUGGGCAGAAGUGAGGCUAUGAAUGUUAGGCCUUAAAUUUAAAAAAAAAUUGUUUAAAAUUUUUUUUCUAUUAUGCAUAUACAUUAAUUUUUUUAACACACAUUUCUUUAUGAAUCAUGCUGGGAGAGAAAAAUCAGAACAAAAGGGGAAAAAACCACGAAAAAAAACCAGAAUAAAAAGAAAAAAAAGUGAACAUAGCACUUGAUAGUUAUGUGUUGAUUUACAUUUAAUCUCCAUAUGAAGUCCUUAAGAUCCUUUAGAAAUCUAAAUUCUUGAACCAGCUACACCCAAGAAAAGAACUCUGGGAGAUGACUAUGAACCACUACAAAGAAUUCCCAAUCCCUCUAUUUUUGUCCAUCUGCAUUUUUGAUUUCCUUCACAGGCUAAUAGUACACUAUUUCAAAGUCCGAUUCUUUUUGUACAGCAAAAUAAAAACUGUUUGGACAUGUAAACAUAUAUUGUAUUUAAUUUAUAAUUUAACAUGUAUUGGUCAACCUGCCAUCUGGGGGAGGGGGUGGGGGGAAGGAGGGGAAAAAUUGGAACAAAAGAUCUGGCAAUUGUCAAUGCUGUAAAGUUACCCAUACAUAUAACCUGUAAAUAAAAAGCUAUUAAAAAAAAAAAGAAAUCUAAAUUCUGUAAUCCUAUUCUAAUAUGAAUUGCUCCUUUGGUAUUUAUAAUCCUGUAUUAUAGGUUUUGUAGUAGGGAUGGUAAAUGUAUUCUAAGUGAGAGCAGCAAAUGCUGUGGGAGUACUUGGAUUGCCCUCUGGUUGCUGGAUGCUGCCAGGACAAAUUAAGAAGAUCAAAAUAUAACAUUUGGAGUGGAGACUCAGAUGAACCUCUAGACCAGUAGGAGGUGCUAUUCUGGAAAUAUGCUGUCUACAUUAUUGUUGUUCAGUUGUUUUUCAUUUGUAUCUUAUUCUUCAAGAUGCCAUUUAUUUAUUUUUGUUGUUGUUGUUGUUUGUUUUUUGUUUUUUUUUGGGGGGGGCAAAGAUACCAGCGUGGCUUCUCCAGCUCAUUUUACGAUGAGAAAACUGAAGCAGAAUUAAAAGACUGAGACCAGUUUUGGACUCAGAAGAUGAAUUUUCCUGACUCCUGGCUUGACUUUUUCCUCUGUCCCACCCAGAUGUCUGGGCGUGGAGGAGAAAACAUAAUUAGAGCAUUAAGAUACCUUGACCCAACAUGCUACUGAGGGUGGAAAGAAAACCCCUUUGGAAGGUUGCAAGGAGAAGCAUGCUCCUGAUUGACCAUCAUGCUUCCAUAGGAGGCUAAAAGUCAUUAGGACUAAAGUAGUUCACAGGAAAAAUCCAGAGUAUAGUCCCCAGUUUGUUAGGGCCAGAUGUGAGGAAGGCACAUAUCUUCAUCCCGAAAAGGGAGCCCUGGGAUAUUUCCCAUAGCUAUAGGACUGGGACACUCCCAGCAAGAGAGGAAGAGUGGAAGAUGAACUCCUGGGUUCAAAUCCUCAUUUAACCAGCCUGGACUUCUCUAUAAAAUGACAGGGCUGGAUUAGGUGACCUCCAAUAUCCCCUUUCAUUCUGCAUCUGUGGUCCUGUGGUCCAUCUGCUGGUGAACUAUAGUUAGACCAAUACUGUACAGGAGAGUAGCAGGUUGAGAUAAGGAUCCUACUAUUUGUUGGGAGCAACAGAACACUGCAGACAGAGUGAAGUGUUUUAUUUUUUAUUUUUUUUAUUAAAGCUUUUUAUUUACAAGACAUAUGCAUGGGUAAUUUUUCAAUAUUGACCCUUGCAAAACCUUCUGUUCUAAAUUUUCCCCUCCUUCCUCCCACUCCUUCCGCUAAAUGGUAGGCAGUCCAAAACCUGUUAAAUAUGUUGAAAUAUAUGUUAAAAUCAAUAUAUUAUACAGUUAUUUUGCUGCACAAGAAAAAUCCGAUCAAGAAGGGAAAAAAAAAACUGAGAAAGAAAACAAAAUGCAAGCAAACAACAACAGAGAGAGCGAGAAUGCUACGUUGUGGUCCACACUCAGUUCCCAUAAUCCUCUCUCUGGGUGUAGAUGGCUCUCUUCAUCAUUGAAUCAUUGGAACUGGUUUGAAUCAUCAGAGUGAAGUGUUUUAUUGAAAAUCUGCCAGAAGAAGUAGGGAGAGGGAUGGAGAUGAGGAACUAAGAGUGUCUCAGUAGAAGAUGUACUAAGGAGCUCCUGAGAAUAAGCAGCCACUGGGAGUCCUACCUAGAGCAUGACCACAAGCCUCUGGUUAUGAAUACUCAAGGGUUGAUAUUUCCUACCAAAAAAAGUGUUGAUAUUUCUUACCCCCAAGAAGCUUUUUUGUUUCAUUUUGUUUUGUUUUGUUUGAUGUAUAAGUGAACCCAAACCAUAGUGUUGCUAGAAAAGGAAGCUGGGUACAAGUACAAUACAUCCUUUUUUUUUUUCCUACUUAAGUUCAACUUUCUGUGACCCCAUUUGAUGUUUGUUUUCUUGGCAAAGAUAAUAGGGUGCUUUGCCAUUUUCUUCUCUGACCCAUUUUAUAGAUGUAGAAUUAAGGCAAACAGAGUUAAAGUGACUUGCCUAGCCAAUUCCACUAGACUUGUGAUGGAGAGAGCCAUCUGCACUGGACUUGCCUAGGCUCAUGUGGCUAGUGUCUAAGGCUACAUGAACACAGGGCUUCUUGACUCCAGGCCUGAUAUUUUAUCCAACUGGACCAUUUAGCUUUAUUCCAUGGCUAUUAUUAUUCUCCUUUUAUAGAUGAGGAAACUGAGGAUGAGAGAAGAUAGGUGGAUCAUCCAAAGUUACAGUUAUCAUCUGAGGAAAAACUUGAACUCAGAUUGUACUGACUCUAGAUCCCACUGGGCCCACUUGCACUUUUAGCUUUCCUCAUAACAAUUUGGAAAGGCAGGCAGUAUACAGAUUUUAGAGAUGGGGAAAUGAGGCUUUGUGUAUUUGAAUGACUUACUUAAGGUUACAAUGCUACUGCUGUGAAACCUGAACCUGGAAUCUAGAUCUCCUGACUCCAAGUACAAUGUUCAUUUUACCCCUUUUCCUCUCAAUUUCAGUUUCACCAUAAAAGGACAUCUUUUCAUAAGUCUGAAGACUUCAUGAGACCAUAGGAGCCUAGAUUUAGAGUUGGCAGAGACCCCAUAGGCCAUCUUUUCCUCACCCUCUCUCCCUCCUAUUAUUUUUCAGAUAAGGAUAUUGAUAUAUAGAAGAAUUUAAUCCCAUACCCAAGGUCCCACAGACUUACAAAGUAUGUCUACUUUAAAUUCUGCACAUCUAACAAUAGAAGUGUCUCAUUAUAGCCAAGUUCAUUUAAAAAGUCAGCAGCCCAGAUGUAUGCCUUGAUGGACAGCACUGCUGGUAUCCUAUAUUUAUGGCUUACUUAAUGAGUUGGUGAUCAAUAUCACUAUUUUAGAUAAAUUGAACUCUUUAAUUUUCUUUCUAAGGAGGAAAAUAUAAAGACCUCUCAAGCUGAAAUAAAUGGAUUGUAGAGUACAAAAACCACACAAGGAAAAUCUGAAUGUAUUCUUUUAAUUUCUAGUUUUUAUGUAUUUUUUUAAAUGUCAAGAAACUGACUUUAAAAAAAAAAAAAAGAAAAGAAACUGACUUUUUUCCUGGUCUGCUGAGAAGCUUGAGAUAUAUUUUUCUGAGUUUUUAUGAAAAUUUGUAUUAGUUGGGUAGUGGUGGCUAGAUUAUGUAUGACACAAAAUUUGAUGUACCUAGUAAUUAAAGACAUGAAUUAAAGACAUCCCAACUAAUAAAAAUGGACUUGUGAAAUACCUUCAGUUCAGAAAUUCAGGAACUGCACGAUGUAUUUGAAUAUUCUAUGCAUGACAGCUAGAUGGUGUAGUUGAUAAAGCACUGGAUCUUGAGGUCACAUAUUUCUGCUCAUAAGAAUUUGAGUUCAUAUACUAAGUGUCUGACAAGGGACAAGUCUUCAUUUCUUCAUCUGUAAAAUAAAGAUAAUAUCUCCCAGGAGGACCAAAUAAAAUAAUAAUUAUAAAGUGUUUAGCAGUGUUUGACAUACAGUAAAUAUGAUUUGAUAAUCAUAAUUACAAUUACAAUAAUAAUAGACAUUUCUAUAGUUUUUUCAACGUUUGCAGAGCACUUUGCACAUGUAGCACAAAAACACACAAAAAAUAUAAAAACUAGAAUUAAAAGAAUACAUUCAGGUUUUCCUUGUGUGUUUUUUGUAACUUCAAGAUCCAUUUGUGGGGGGCGGAGCCAAGAUGGCGGAGAAGACACACGCGACUUUCUAAGCUCUUCUCUUACCCUCUUUAUCAAUAUUAUAUCGAGCCUCAAAAAUAGUCUUGACUGCUACAAUUCGUAAAGAUAAGAAGUAGAACAACUCACCGGCCGAAGAAAAUCUGCAGUCUCGCCAAAAAAGGUUGGUUCUGGGGCCAGGGGGGAGAUCGGCGCAGACGGGGAGAGAAAUUAGGUUCCGAGGAGAGUCUCAAACCGAGGGUGAAGGCACAGAUCUCAGCACAAGCGCGCAGCCCCAACCCGCAGUACGGGCUUUUCCUUGGGGCAGUUGUGAUCCUGCACAGCAGGAGGACGCAGCCCGGGUUAGCCUCCAAUCUGCGCAGUGGGGAGCUCGGCUUGGGGCCAUAGAGCUUUUCCAGGGCCGAUGUGCAUCAGGCAGAGACGCUGGGCAGAGUUUGUGGAGGUCUGCAUUCUGCAGUCAGCUGCUAAUACUCACAGUCCCACAAGAGGCUCCGGCCUGGGGCGGUGACACUUUCACCACUUAGUCUCUAGCCGAGGGCAAUCGAUAAUCCACUCAGCCCUACUAAGCAGUUUGAUAGCUCGGCCAGUGCUGAAUCCACUUCCUGUUGGGGGAAGGGAAAACUCUCACUCAGAGCACUCCCAUACCUCGGAGCCGGAAAUCGGUUUACAUCUUUCCCUGCUCUGCAGAGGAAGCUGGUAACCCCCUUGCCUAGGAGACCUACCCUAAAGGC